GCGUAAGAAUCUACCUUCUACAUAGCCAUAAAUAGGUAAAGGCCAAGUCCGGUAGGAGAUGAGCUUGCGUAAGAUUAGGUAGUUGGUGGGGUAAGAGCUCACCAAGCCAGAGAUCUUUAGCUGGUCUGAGAGGUUGAUCAGCCACACUGGGACUGAGACACGGCCCAGACUCAAUGAUAGAGGCAGCAGUAAGGAAUAUUAGACAAUGAGCGGAAGCUUGAUCUAGCUAUGUCGCGUGGGUGAUGUAAACCUUCGGGUAGUAAAGCCCUUUAAUUGGACAAAAGAUUAUGACUUAGUCCA
rnacentral:rRNA from 1 species